rnacentral:rRNA from 1 species
GAUGAACGCUGGCGGCGUGCCUAAUACAUGCAAGUCGAGCGAACGGACGAGAAGCUUGCUUCUCUGAUGUUAGCGGCGGACGUGUGAGUAACACGUGGAUAACCUACCUAUAGGACUGGGAUAACUUCGGGAAACCCGAGCUAAUACCGUAUAAUAUUUUGAACCGCAUGGUUCAAAAGUGAAAGACGGUCUUGCUGUUACUUAUAGAUGGAUCCGCGCUGCAUUAGCUAGUUGGUAAGGUAACGGCUUACCAAGGCAACGAUGCAUAGCCGAGCUGAGAGGGUGAUCAGCCACACUGGAACUGAGACACGGUCCAGACUCCUACGGGAGGCAGCAGUAGGGAAUCUUGCGCAAUGGGCGAAAGCCUGACGGAGCAACGCCGCGUGAGUGAUGAAGGUCUUCGGAUCGUAAAACUCUGUUAUUAGGGAAGAACAUAUGUGUAAGUAACUGUGCACAUCUUGACGGUACCUAAUCAGAAAGCCACGGCUAACUACGUG